rnacentral:rRNA from 1 species
AUUGAACGCUGGCGGCAGGCCUAACACAUGCAAGUCGAGCGAGCGGCGGACGGGUGAGUAAUGUAUGGGGAUCUGCCCGAUAGAUGGGGAUAACUACUGGAAACGGUGGCUAAUACCGCAUACUAUCGGAUUAACCCAUCUUGGCUUAGCUAGUAGGUGGGGUAAAGGCUCACCUAGGCGACGAUCUCUAGCUGGUCUGAGAGGAGGAUCAGCCACACUGGAACUGAGACACGGCCCAGACUCCUACGGGAGGCAGCAGUGGGGAAUAUUGCACAAGGGGCGCAAGCCUGAUGCAGCCAUGCCGCGUGUAUGAAGAAGGCCUUAGGGUUGUAAAGUACUUUCAGCGGGGAGGCGUUACCCGCAGAAGAAGCACCGGCUAACUCCGUGCCAGCAGCCGCGGUAAUUC